CUAAAAGAGACCAGUCAUGUCUCCAAGUUCUCCUGGAGUAGUUUCUACUAAUUAAUAUGUUGGUGAGACAGGCCGGGAUAGAAACCAGCCAAUGCAGGCCAUGAGCACCACAGCAGCGUGGACUCCGAAGGGUCUCUCCUGGAGAAAUGGAAUCGCUAUCCCAGGACUAGCACUCCUAUACCAGCAUAACUGCGUCAACACGAGGGUGCAUCAUUUUAACUGUAUUGGUGGCUCAACCCUUCGAUGCCUUGGCUUCUGACUCUGGAAACAUGGUCUUCAGCUUCUGUCACCUUGGCAUAACUCAGGGAGAAGCCAAUGGAAAGCAGCAACUCAGUUACAAAAGGACUCUGUUACUACAACGACAAAAGGAGCAGCAACAAAGAGUUUUAAUUCUCCACUGCCUCAUGAGAUCUUCCCUCUUUCCCUUAAUAUGGUAGAGAGCUUAUCAGAUUUGCUGUCCUAGAUUCACUUUAGAUCUCUUUGGUUUUACUGCUUUCCACAUAGCUCCUCCCACUGAACAGUUGGGUUGCAGACCUUCCACUCAGAUGUAUUAACUUGUGUUUAUUUAUAUUGCUUCCUGCAUAUAUUUCUAAUUCUACAUACAAGUCUCUGUUUUGUUCCUCUAGACCCACUGCUCUUUGCAACACCUCCUAAUCAGUGUUGGCAUCAUAACAAGGAGGACCCCAAGCUAAUGGAAGGAGAUUGGCAAGGAAAAACACCCCCAAAAACAAAGGCCUGAGUUUCCCUCUUUAGCAGUACCACUGCCAGAAGAGGUUUGGGGUAGGAUUUCUAGUAGUAAAUUGUUUCCUCACUCUCUGGUUUCACUGGUGCAAGGAAGACUGGGUUGAGAAGUUCAUCUUUUCUUUCCCCCACUGAAUACCAUUCCUGAGAGGGAUACAGGACCAUCCUGUGAAAUGCAGAACUUGCACGGGACACAGGACCCCCAGAAGACCUUGCUUAGCUAGUGCUCAAGCAAGGCCUAGUUUUAAUUUGGCAUCAUUUGAGUAUAUUUAUCUCUUCUGGUUAUACAAGUACAAAGUUUCCCAGAGAUCUUAAAUGUUAAAAGUUAACAUACAAAUAAAAGCCAGGGAGAAACGUAAGGGAUAUUUAUUUAGUUUAAAGACCAUCAAUUGUUUUCAUUUCUAUUACUACACCAGUCAUAUUACAUUUUGGCCACAAAUGAUUGUCAUUUGUUGGCUGGUUCAUCCUUGAAUUAUUUCUUCAUUCAUCACUAAUAAACAAAUAUUUUACUUAAAAGAAUACAAGUAUGAAACACUGAGUGGAGAGCAACAAGUUACAAUGAAGUAAUGCAUUGGUGGCAGCCUGUUAAACUCACAAGAAAAAGAUUUCAAUGAUUUAGGAUACUGCAGCAAAACCAAAUGACAAUCAUUCUCAAUUUCUGUAUAGUAUCUGGAGAUGUUUUACAGGUUCAGUGCAGGAUGAGGUAGUCAUUUAUGAUCAUUCAGUGGCAGAGGCAGGUUGAAGUGUAAUAAAUGCUCUUAGUGGUAAUAAGAACAGAUCAUGAACGAGAGUGAAAUUCAAGUUCUAAAUAGCACUUAACAGACAAAAGAGACUCUUGGUUUUUAGAUCUAUAUAUUACCAGAUUGAAUGUAACAGGAAUUUCACAUAGCACAAAGAUCUAAUCCUGGAUACAGAAAUUUACAGACUGGUUUGUCAAACUUUGGUGGUUUGCUAAUAGCUGGCCAGUCAUAUGGUGCUGGCUUCUUCCGCCUUACUCCAGAGUCCAAACAAGUUGUGGUGCAUCAAAACUUCCUGACCCCAUUACUGGAUUUGGCUUUAGUCACAAAAGGACCUCCACAAAAUCCUGCCCAAGCUAUGCUUCAAGGCUUGGCUUCUCCUCUCCUAAGCUCCUCUCUGUAAGGACUGUUCAGCUACACCAUACAUGUGCUCCAGAAAGCCAGUGA